GAAACUGCGUGAAUUAGGGCAGAUGAAGGACACUGCUGAAUGGGGAAUGCGUAUUUAGGGUUUUGUUCUCCUUUGCCUUGGAGGAAGGUGAAAGCUGCGUGAAUUGACGAGGUUGUCCUUGUAAGUAGGGUCGGCGAGGUAAUUUAUCGGCUUCAUAUUCAUUGUCAUUAUUAACCUGCUGGCUUUGUUACAACGUGGUCAUCAACCUUUCAAAAAUAACUCAAUUGGUGGUAAUAUUUGUUAAAAAAUAUUUAGUAAUAAUUUAUCAGUAACUUAAAAAUUUCAGAUUUAAUAUCAGUUACAAGUUACACUCAUAAAAAUAAAUAUUUUUACAUCUGUCAACAUUUCCUAAAAUGAAAACUGGAGAUUUUUUACUGAUACAAUAUAAAAUGAUUAACUAAUAAAUGAAAAAAUUAAAGAAAAUGAAACCAACAACACUAUCUCAGAUGCUCAUUUUUUUUAUUAUGAAGAUGAGCCUCAAAAUAAGUUUAAUGUCCUUAAAUAAUUAUUAAAUAAAAAUAUUAUUUGAGAAUAAGGGUUUAGACUAAUUAAAAAGAAACAAGGCCUAAUUUAAAUUAAAAUAGUACAGAUGGAGAGGAAGACAUAAAUCGUGAUAAUAAAAACAAAAAAGAUAUUUAACAAAAUUAUUAUAGGGAUUUGAAACCUGGAUGUUAGGUGCUCUAUAUCUAUUAUUUAAUGAUUAAUAAUAAUAAUAAAUUUUAUUUGUAAGGAAUAUAUAUGUAUGAUACUUUUAAAAUCAAAAUUUUAAGAUCCCUAAAUUUUUAUGACUUUAUGUCGAAAAAUCAACACAUGUUAAUGGGCGGCUCUGAUGACAAUCCUCAUGAUCUCCAUGAUAAUAAUUUUUCGUUAAAUUAUUACAAAAUUGGAGCCACAAAUUAUAUUUUAAAAAAUGAUGUCAUUUUUUACAUGAAGUGGAUAGGUUGGAUUUUCUACUGUGUGUUAAGCCUAUUAUUGAUGAUGAACUACUGGGCUUGCCGCUUAGGUUUUGUUAUCCGGUCCCCUUUCAGCCCUUUUUCCCCCUGAAGCUAUCCUCUCCCGUCUUGGUCGCUUCCAGACUCCCCUCCCUCGAAAAACUGAACAGCUAUCUCUCUGUAUGUGCACUGGUCACUGGUCACUGCUCAGCCAGCCUCAUACGAGUUUCCUCCAUGGACUAGUCGUUUGAGGAGAUAACAUAUAAGAGCUGCCGCUGCUAUACGUCGCUCCGGAUUAGUAAGGUAUUCCGCUUUUAUCAGCAAAACUUCAUCGGAUUGCAAUUCCUCUAAGUAAUUUCUCACUCCUUCGAUUCC
rnacentral:lncRNA from 1 species